rnacentral:lncRNA from 1 species
UUGGAAGUGAACAAGAUUUUUGCAGAGAUUUUCCCUGGUCAAGAGUGCAACAUGAGUCGUGGAUAUGAACUUUACUGUCAGAUGUACAUUGAUUGGAAAGUGAACAAGAUAUCUGCACUGAAAAUGAAUGAAGUUGAAGAAAGUUGAAAGGCACCCCAGAAGAACCUGAAUUAUUUUAGCCCUAUCCUAGAUUCAUUGAAUAUUUUAGUGUGUGAUAACAUGUGUGAAAUGUGAUCAAUUAUGUGACAAUUUUCAAAACUUGGAUUUAUAAAGAUAAAAUUUUUCUUUGUAAAGUUUAAGAAGUAAACCUUUUUUGUCUGGUGGUGUUGGUGUUUUGAUUUGCAUGUUUUUCCCUGUGCUUUCACAAUUGAAAAUAUUUUAGCAGUUGC